rnacentral:rRNA from 1 species
GAUGAACGCUGGCGGCGUGCCUAAUACAUGCAAGUAGAACGCUGAAGGAAGGAGCUUGCUCUUUCCGGAUGAGUUGCGAACGGGUGAGUAACGCGUAGGUAACCUGCCUGGUAGCGGGGGAUAACUAUUGGAAACGAUAGCUAAUACCGCAUCACAGUAGAUGUUGCAUGAUAUCUACUUAAAAGGUGCAAUUGCACCACUACCAGAUGGACCUGCGUUGUAUUAGCUAGUUGGUGAGGUAACGGCUCACCAAGGCGACGAUACAUAGCCGACCUGAGAGGGUGAUCGGCCACACUGGGACUGAGACACGGCCCAGACUCCUACGGGAGGCAGCAGUAGGGAAUCUUCGGCAAUGGACGGAAGUCUGACCGAGCAACGCCGCGUGAGUGAAGAAGGUUUUCGAAUCGUAAAGCUCUGUUGUAAGAGAAGAACGAGUGUGAGGGUGGAAAGUUCACACUGUGACGGUAUCUUACCAGAAAGGGACGGCUAACUACGUG